UUUAAUCUGUGUUUUCCAGAUAUAAGGAAACCCUUCUCCUCAAGCUAAUUAUGACUUAUAGCAAUUUGGUAAAUUAUACCUUUGUAAGCAGAAUUGAAACAUUUAUCUUGCCUCUCUAUCUGAUCCCUCCAGAGAUUGGAAACGCGUAGGUUCCCAGGAGCUUUAUCAGAUAAAUUAGGAAGGACACCUCCUAACAGGUGCAGGAAUCUCAAGGUAUUUGGGGGACCGUGAAAAAGGAGGAAUUCACCUAAAUCUGUAAGACAACGUCUGUGACAAGCUGUUGGCGUGACUUUCGUAGCCCUGAGAGGCCUUUUAAAAGUUCAAUCUGAGACUCCUUAUAAAAGUUCUAGCAAAGCCAUUUUUUUAAAAAAAGAAAAGCCUAUAUGAUCAAUUACAUUUAUAUAAAUCAUCAGGCCAAGUUUAUUGAGACUAGACUUACUUUACAAAUUGGUCUUAAUUUGGCUAUAUUUGGUAGAAAUAAGGGUAAUCUUAGAAAAAGUUAUGUUUCAGUGAAUAUUAAAUUCUAGUUUUGUUGAGGUCUGCAUUUACUGCCUAAGACUGACUUCUCAGUUCCUUGCUGUUAUAUUAAAUUUAACUGAGUCAUUAAUAGGACACUCUUAAGUCUGUUUCUGAAGCUUAUCUAUCUUUGGAUGAAGAUCAGAUGUCCCAAGACCUGUAACCAGGUCAUUAUGUGUACUGGAAAAAGACAUCUUUUAAAGGACCAUCUCCAGCCUAGAUGGAAAGACCCUUAUCAGGUACUCUGCACUAGCUCAUGCACAGCAAAACUGAAGGGAAUUGACUCUUGGAUUAAUAUUUUCACAUAGAAAGGGCCCCUGCACUGGACUGGUCUAUAGAGAGGGCUGCUGAUGUCAAAAUCACCUUGAAGCAACGCUCAAAGAGAGGAGAAACUACACUCAUACCAGGAUGAGAAGAAGACAACAUUGGAAGUAGACAGCUGACCUAAGAUGCUGCACCUGACCCGCUGCAAGACUCUUCACUUGAGGCUUUCAACCAUAUUCUCUUGUCAAAUAACUAAACUACACCUAUGCUUGAUGGAAAUUAAACAGCUGGUGCUCAGGGUACUACAAUUACAAAGAGAGGGAAAGCGUCAACCCACGGAAGCUGUUACAUGUGACCGCGUGUGACAGGACCUGAUCUCCCUGUUUUACUUAUUUGACUUCAGGGGCAGGGAGGUAAGGCUUAUUUGCAUUUGAACUCCUGUAAAGGUCAGAAUAUGGGAAGGAUGACGCCUCAUUCAUUCAGGUCAUAUUAAAGAGAAACUGCCCUCUGAAAUAUUUGCCUUUUAAUAUGUGCAGCUACAAAUAAGAAUGCAUGGAUAAUUAACUGAAGGUAAAAUUUUACAAAGAAAGAUCAAAACAGCAGAGAAGAAAGGCAAUCCUUAGAAUUUUACUAGGGUAUCAACCAUGGACGAGGAAGAUAAACAGAAAGAUCUAGACAAAAAAGCAAACCAAAUGGAAAUAAAAGGAGAAAUAAUAAGAAAAAUAAAUAGAAAGAAAUGCUAAAGAGAUCCAUGUUCUUUAAUGAAAAUAAAUGGGUCAUACUAAUGAUUUUUUAAUAUUAGGGAGAGAUUCAUUGUAAUCUGAGAAAUAUAGGAGAAAUACUUUGCCUCUGCUCUAUCAAAGUGAAAAUGAAGUAAUGAAAAGAGGAUUUUUAAAAAGACAGCAAAGUGAGUGAAAUGUAACAUUGCUGUCAAAGAAGCUGCUAACUGUGAGACAACAGGAAGGCCUUCUCUCAUAAAGGAACUGCAGCGUUGCCAAUCUCAAUUUAACAAAUUGUGGGCCUUUAGUUACAAAAUUCAUAUUUUAGAUGAAAACCAAUUAAGAUAGAUCUAUGAGCUAAACUGCAAAAUUUUGACUUAUGGCAGACUGUUUCCUAGGAUACAAUUUUUAAAACCUUUUAUUUUCUACCACUGAAAAUGCACAGAAACGUGAUUACAGAAAUGGCAGUAAAAAUGGCAUCACACCAAUGAAUUCACUAGAUUUCUAAUUCAUCCUGCAGUAUGCAGGGGACAUUGCUGCUAAAACUGGUGAUGGUGCCACAAGUGAGCCAUGGAAACAUGUCAUGGGCGAACAGUUCUGAAUGUUUCAAAGAAACCUUUUAACCCCUGUCUAGAUAUGUCCAGAACAAUUUAUUUACAACUCUUCAGAUCAAUUAAAAGAUAUAAUCUUGUCUCAGUUUCAGCUUGCUCCGUGCAGUUUGAUUUUUAAGGCGAUAUUCCAGUUUGUGAUUGCUCUUAACUUGUCCAGUUUCUUGAUAUGUUUCUCGAUAUAAAGUUUGGAUGACAUCCAAAUCCUUCAUGCAGUGGGGGAAUUUUUUUUCUUUCUUGUUUGUUUUACUAAAGCUACACUGCACUCUCUGUGAUGUUCUUCACGUUAUUUUGGUUCUUCCAUAGCUGCCAAAGCCCCCGCAGUGGAACGGGGAGCUUUAGGAUCAGUUUAGGUCUGCCGUGGAUGCCGUAUGGACCAUGCUUGUUGGACACGUGGGACUUCACGUCGGUGCUCCCAAGCCUUGGUGCCUCGUGGAUUUAUGCAUGUGACAGUGAAAAUAAAUUAAAACACCGUGAGACGGAA